CUUCAAGUGGGGUUUGUGCACGAGGAUCUUCACCGCAGUUGUCGUCCAUGUCAUCGAGCUUUGGAAGAUUCCAUCCGUCGAAACAUAAACCGAUUUGGUCAUUCAUUUCUUUAAAUAUUUCAGUUUCUCGUGGCACAUGCUUGCCUACGGUGUCACAAAGUCUCUGUCUUUUUUCUUGUGGAUUAUAUAUAUUGACAAUGCCUUUGAUGAACUCACCGUAAGCAUCACCUUCGAGUUUGUUAAGAUCU
rnacentral:lncRNA from 1 species